UACGGAGGGUGCGAGCGUUGUCCGGAAUCACUGGGCGUAAAGGGCGCGUAGGUGGCCCGUUAAGUGGCUGGUGAAAUCCCGGGGCUCAACUCCGGGGCUGCCGGUCAGACUGGCGAGCUAGAGCACGGUAGGGGCAGAUGGAAUUCCCGGUGUAGCGGUGGAAUGCGUAGAGAUCGGGAAGAAUACCAGUGGCGAAGGCGUUCUGCUGGGCCUUGCUGACACUGAGGCGCGACAGCGUGGGGGAGCAAACAGG
rnacentral:rRNA from 1 species